UUGACAUCCAGCGAAUUCGGUAGAGAUACCUUAGUGCCUUCGGGAACGCUGAGACAGGUGCUGCAUGGCUGUCGUCAGCUCGUGUUGUGAAAUGUUGGGUUAAGUCCCGCAACGAGCGCAACCCUUAUCCUUUGUUGCCAGCGGUCCGGCCGGGAACUCAAAGGAGACUGCCAGUGAUAAACUGGAGGAAGGUGGGGAUGACGUCAAGUCAUCAUGGCCCUUACGAGUAGGGCUACACACGUGCUACAAUGGCGCAUACAAAGAGAAGCGACCUCGCGAGAGCAAGCGGACCUCAUAAAGUGCGUCGUAGUCCGGAUUGGAGUCCGCAACUCGACUCCAUGAAGUCGGAAUCGCUAGUAAUCGUAGAUCAGAAUGCUACGGUGAAUACGUUCCCGGGCCUUGUACACACCGCCCGUCACACCAUGGGAGUGGGUUGCAAAAGAAGUAGGUAGCUUAACCUUCGGGAGGGCGCUUACCACUUUGUGAUUCAUGACUGGGGUGAAGUCGUAACAAGGUAAGCGUACGUGU
rnacentral:rRNA from 1 species